UCGGGAAUUUUGGGCAAUGGGCGAAAGCCUGACCCAGCAACGCCGCGUGAAGGAUGAAAUCCCUCGGGAUGUAAACUUCGCAAGAACGGGAAGAAUAAGUAGAAGAUAAUACCUUCUAUGAUGACGGUACUGUUUGUAAGCUCCGGCUAACUCCGUGCCAGCAGCCGCGGUAAUACGGGGGGAGCAAGCGUUGUUCGGAUUUACUGGGCGUAAAGGGCGCGUAGGCGGCCACGACAAGUCAGUUGUGAAAUCUCCGGGCUUAACUCGGAGCGGUCAACUGAUACUGUCGGGCUAGAGUGCAGAAGGGGCAACUGGAAUUCUCGGUGUAGCGGUGAAAUGCGUAGAUAUCGAGAGGAACACCUGCGGCGAAGGCGGGUUGCUGGGCUGACACUGACGCUGAGGCGCGAAAGCUAGGGGAGCGAACGGGAUUAGAUACCCCGGUAGUCCUGGCCUUAAACGAUGAAUGCUUGGUGUCCGAGGUUACAUAGUCCUCGGGUGCCGUCGCUAACGCUUUAAGCAUUCCGCC
rnacentral:rRNA from 1 species